CCUGAGAAACCCGAAAGAUCGAAUGGGGAGAUUCAUCGUCAGCGAUUCUGGUACGUGUGCGGUUCGCGAUGUCGGAGACUUCGGUCUCGCGGCACGCGUCCGCAUGUUUUUUAUUGCUGGAAUCGUCGGCGUGCACUUCUCCCCUAGUAGGACGUCGCGACCCGUUGGGUGUCGGUCUACGGCACGGUAGGUAGCCUGUCUCGUGUGCGCUUCACGGCGUUACGCGGGGCAGACCUCCGUUCGCCCGACCGGCUGCUCGGCGGUACUCGCAAGAUAUCUGGCCGCAGACAUACAAACUGCGUCCGGCCCGUCGCAAGCGCGGCAAGUGUUUCUCGGCUGUACGGAUCUAAUGCCGUCACCGAGCCUUGCCAGCUGUUGGUUGACGGUGUCCUAGGACUGGCUAAUAAGAUUAUGAUAUCGGUCGGCGACGCUAUUGCUUUGGGUACUUUCAGGA
rnacentral:rRNA from 1 species